UCUUCUUUCUUCUUUUUAUUUCCCUCUCCCUCUCUCGGUUCACCCUCACGUCGUCGAGACCUUCCCCCCCAAAUCUUCAUAUUCUUCGUCUGCCGCCCAGCCCCUUCACGCCGCUCGCUGCCCUUCAUUGCUGCCACCAAUCGUCAAACCUGCGUCGUCAGUUUCGUCGAUGGCAACUUCCAUCACGCAAAGGAAUGCCCCCAUUUCCAUCGCCGUCAGUCUCUUCGCCACGUCCCUCCAGCGCUCACACUCGACGGUCGUCUGUCGCCUUCUUCACCGGUCAAAUCAGCGCCGCAGGUAAGUCCGUCGAGCUACCUUCAGUCAGUUCCACCACCAAGUCCGUUCACGUCAUUCGUUGUUAUUCGUCUCAGACCCGCCAGAUCCGACAUCCAGCCAUCGUUCUGCUUGGUUUCACCAAUCACCGCCGUCGAGAACUCCAAGACCGGUGGGGGAUCAUCGGGUUGGAGUCUAUUGGUGAAGUAGUAAAGCGGAUUUGGAUUUUCGCCUAAUUUUUGGGUAAGUCGUGUUGGUAAGUUUGAAAUGAUUGGUCUGUUAGAUUUGGGCUUAAAAGUUAAAAGUGAUUUUUUAUUUGUUUUCUAUGAUUUUUGAAGUGUUGGAAAGAGUUGAGUUUCUGUCCAAUAGGUUUGAGACCAAUCUUUUGCAAGGUUUUGGUAAGUUUGGAGGUUAGUAUUAAUAGUUCUUUGAUACCCAUUGAAGUAUUGGUCAAAUAAUUGAGUUAUUUCAAUUUUUGAUGUUCAAUUCAAAGAUUUCAAGGGAAUGAAAGCAAAGUUAACGAUGUUUGGACGUUUUGAUAGGUAUUGAUGCCUUGAAACUCUUUUGGAAUUGUUAUAUAGUUGCUGGAAUUUGCAUUUUGUAACCAUUAUUAUUGAACUUUUCGUAGGUUGAAUUACUUUGUUGUAGUUUUAAAGGGGCAUUCGAAUGAUGUUUAUUUAAUGCAUCUGUAUGAUAUGUGUAUUAAUUAUUGGCUUUGUAUUGUAGUGUCCUUUACAAGUAGGAACUGUCGAAUGUGGGUAUUACGUUAUGAGAUAUAUGCGAGAAAUCGUGACUAAAGAGAAGAAUAUUAUAACAUAUGUGAUAUGUCUUUAAACUACUUAUAUAUAUAUAGAUAGUGUAAAUAGUAAAUAAAUAUGUAUAUCUCACUUUCUAUGUUUUAUAGAUUGAUACGAGGAGCUCGUACUCACAACUUGAAUUUGAUGAAGUAUGCGUGGAAUGGGUUGAAUAUUUAGGUCACUAUAUCUAAUGGACUUCCUAUAAAUUAUGUAUGUGGCUACAUGGGAAUGUCCAAAACUUUUUUUGUGUAAAUGUUUUGUUCAACCAUUAUAGGUUAUAUACUUCAAAGAAAUGUGUGAUGGAGGAUAGAAUUUUAGUCUUGUGAAUUUUGGAAUACAUAGCACAUAUAGAUUGGUCUUACAAUUUUGGAA